CUGUGGGUCGUAAACCUCUUUUCUCAGGGAAGAAGUACUGACGGUACCUGAGGAAUCAGCAUCGGCUAACUCCGUGCCAGCAGCCGCGGUAAGACGGAGGAUGCAAGCGUUAUCCGGAAUUAUUGGGCGUAAAGCGUCCGUAGGUGGUAUAGAAAGUCUGUUGUUAAAUCCCACAGCUCAACUGUGGAUCGGCAAUGGAAACUACUAAACUUGAGUGUGGUAGGGGUAGAGGGAAUUCCUAGUGUAGCGGUGAAAUGCGUAGAUAUUAGGAAGAACACCAGUGGCGAAGGCGCUCUACUGGGCCAUAACUGACAC
rnacentral:rRNA from 1 species